rnacentral:rRNA from 1 species
AACGAACGCUGGCGGCAUGCCUAACACAUGCAAGUCGAACGAGACCUUCGGGUCUAGUGGCGCACGGGUGCGUAACGCGUGGGAACAUGCCCUUAGGUUCGGAAUAACUCCCCGAAAGGAGUGCUAAUACCGGAUAAUGUCUUCGGACCAAAGAUUGUCCGCCUUUGGAUGGGCCCGCGUUGGAUUAGCUAGUUGGUAGGGUAAAAGCCUACCAAGGCGACGAUCCAUAGCUGGUCUGAGCGGAUGAUCAGCCACACUGGGACUAAGACACGGCCCAGACUCCUACGGGAGGCAGCAGUAGGGAGUAUUGGACAAUGGGCAAAAGCCUGGUCCAGCAAUGCCGCGUGAGUGGUGAAGGCCGUAGGGUUGUAAAGCUCUUUUACCCGGGAUGAUAAUGACAGUACCGGGAGAAUAAGCUCCGGCUAACUCCGUG